AAAAGAACCUGUGGACAUGGUCAUAGCCACCCCAGACGUUCACUCCCUACCAAUCCCCUGGUAGUCUCCCCAGACUUCCCCCAUGUGAAUGUACUGAAGAACUGACACCCACCCUCUGGUUUUAAAAUGUUUAGAAUUUGUAAUAAUUUUAUAGAUACGUAUUUUCUAGAGAGUGAUGUAACAUCCAUAACAAUCUAAAACAGAUUUUCUAGGAAGUUACCGUGAAAUCUACAAAAGCAAUAAAACAUUUCAUCCCAGGUGCUGAGCUGUGAGGAGAGUAUCAGGGUUUAGGCUCUGCUGCCUUUCCCCGAAGAACUCACUUGGGAAGCAGUCAGAUUAGAAGAUAAUUCUGAAACAAAUGCCUGCCACUCUUUAAUUA